rnacentral:rRNA from 1 species
CCUACGGGUGGCAGCAGGGAGGAAUAGGGGGCAAUGGACGAGAGGCGGAACCAGCCAAGGAGCGUGAAGGAUGACUGCCCUAUGGGUUGUAAACUUCUUUUAUAUGGGAAUAAAAUGUUCCACGUGUGGGAUUUUGUAUGUACCAUAUGAAUAAGGAUCGGCUAACUCCGUGCCAGCAGCCGCGGUAAUACGGAGGAUCCGAGCGUUAUCCGGAUUUAUUGGGUUUAAAGGGAGCGUAGGUGGAUUGUUAAGUCAGUUGUGAAAGUUUGCGGCUCAACCGUAAAAUUGCAGUUGAAACUGGCAGUCUAGAGUGCAGUAGAGGUGGGCGGAAUUCGUGGUGUAGCGGUGAAAUGCUUAGAUAUCACGAAGAACUCCGAUUGCGAAGGCAGUUCACUGGACUGCAACUGACACUGAGGCUCGAAAGUGUGGGUAUCAAACAGGAUUAGAUACCCUAGUAGUC